UUUUAGCUGUUAUAAUAUGGAAAGUUUCAGAUUUAUUUUCACUCAUUUCAGUCAGUAGAUAUGGAUUCUCUAAUAAAAGACGAGUCAGGAACAAAGAUGAAAGCCUUUGAUAUUUUCACUAUUGUCAUUAAAUACCUCAAAGAACAAAUUAUUGCAAAAUUGAAACAAUCGUGUAGAGACAUUCGUGCAGAAGAAAUACAUUAUGUGAUAACUGUUCCGGCUAUAUGGGAAGACAAGGCCAAAUUGUUCAUGAGAGAGUCAGCGAAAGAGGCAGGAAUAAAAAGAAACCAGUUAACAAUUGCACUGGAGCCAGAAGCAGCGUCUGUGUAUUGUCAAGAAUUGAAGAUAGAUCGAGACAUAAAAAACAAUAUUACUUUCUCAGAAACAAUCAUGAAAUACGUUGUGGUGGACCUUGGAGGUGGAACAUCAGAUAUAGCAGUCCACCAACGACAGCCAGAUGAUAUUCUGGAGGAAGUUGUUCCGCCAAGUGGUGGAGCUUGGGGUGGUAUUGCUGUUGAUGAUGUGUUUCUACUAUUUUUGGAAAAUGUAUUAGGUACAACAGUAAUGAAGGACCUAAAGCUAACAGAAUUGGAGGACUACACUGCACUUAUGCAUGAAUUUGAAGUUAAAAAACGAUUGAUCAAAUCAGAUACGACUUCAGACAUAGUUAUUACAAUGCCUGUCGGUCUUUUGGAUAUCAUCAAGAGACACUGCGGAGGAAUAGAUGCAGCUAUAAUGAAAUCCAAAUAUGGUGGUUCCAUUUUCGUCAGUGGUCAAAAAUUCUUUAUAAACCAACAAAAGUUUAGAGAACUGUUUAAGCCUACUAUCGACGAAUUAUUAAAAUAACUUGACCAACUUUUCCAUCAUCCGAAAGUUUCAGACAUACAAGAUAUCAUAAUGGUUGGCGGAUUUUCAGAAUGUGAACUUGUACAAAGAGCAACGAAAGAUAAAUUUCCUAAAAAGAAAAUAAUCAUUCCUGACGAAGCUGGCCUUGUAGUUCUUAAAGGAGCCGUGUUAUACGGUCAUCAGCAUUUAUACGGUCAUCAGCAUAAACUAAUACGCAGUGAGGCCAUUGAUGCAGCGAAAUUAUUUGUGGCGGCAAUUGAUUUUGGAACUACUUAUUCAGGGUAUGCAUUUUCAGCUAAAAGUACGCCAAACGACAUAUUCACAUGCAGUUGGCAAAAGAGUACUUUGGUGUCCAUGAAAGCUCCAACGUCCAUUCUUCUCGACAAAGAAAGAAACUUUGUGGCUUUUGGAUUUGAAGCCGAAACUAAAUAACUUGACAGCCUCGAAAAUGGUGAUUCUGAUUCUGAUGACGAGGAUAGUGGUCCUAAAGAUGUGUAUCAUUACUUUAAUCGAUUUAAAAUGAUGUUGCAUAAUCAGACGGUGAAUUUAGACACGACAAUUAGAGACCAGAACGGUUUGCAAAUGAAGACAUUUGACAUAUUUUCCUUUGCAAUCAAAUACCUGAAAGACCAAGCCAUUGGAAGGCUAGUCAAAACACUUAAGAAUGUGGAAAAAAAUGAUAUUCACUACGUUCUUACUGUUCCGGCCAUAUGGGACGAUCAGGCAAAAAUAUUUAUGAGAAAAGCUGCUGAAAAGGCAGGAAUAAAAGGCAAAGAUUUGACUAUAGCUUUGGAACCAGAAACAGCUUCCAUUUAUUGCCAGGAAUUGCGGACAAACAGGGAUGGCAAUUCAAACAAAACCUUUUCCGAAACAAUCAAGAAAGGCACUAAAUAUGUAGUAGUAGAUCUAGGAGGUUUGUUAAAAAUGCUA